rnacentral:rRNA from 1 species
UACGUAGGGUGCAAGCGUUGUCCGGAUUUAUUGGGUUUAAAGGGUGCGUAGGCGGUUUUAUAAGUCAGUGGUGAAAGACAACAGCUCAACUGUUGAGGUGCCAAUGAUACUGUAGGACUUGAGUACAGGAGAGGUAUGAGGAAUUGACAGUGUAGCGGUGAAAUGCAUAGAUAUUGUCAAGAACACCGAUAGCGAAGGCAGCAUGCUAGCCCGAAACUGACGCUGAGGCACGAAAGUGUGGGGAUCAAACAGG